GGCGUAUGAUCUUAAAGAUUGUUUUCCACCUGUCAUCAGCAAGCUGGGAUCCAGGAUUUCAUGACAAUGCCCUGGUGUAUUGAGAUAGAAAGAUGGCAGAGAAGGAUUUGAUAGGAUGUUUGGAGGUCUCUUAGUUUGCUUACCGGGUAUGUCCAGUAGGCCUGAAGACGGAGUGAAGGAGAUAAACAGGAAAUAAAACUUUAAAUUGGUGAUUUUGGAAACGG